GGUGAACCUGCGGAAGGAUCAUUACCGAGUGUAGGGUUCCUAGCGAGCCCAACCUCCCACCCGUGUUUACUGUACCUUAGUUGCUUCGGCGGGCCCGCCAUUCAUGGCCGCCGGGGGCUCUCAGCCCCGGGCCCGCGCCCGCCGGAGACACCACGAACUCUGUCUGAUCUAGUGAAGUCUGAGUUGAUUGUAUCGCAAUCAGUUAAAACUUUCAACAAUGGAUCUCUUGGUUCCGGCAUCGAUGAAGAACGCAGCGAAAUGCGAUAACUAGUGUGAAUUGCAGAAUUCCGUGAAUCAUCGAGUCUUUGAACGCACAUUGCGCCCCCUGGUAUUCCGGGGGGCAUGCCUGUCCGAGCGUCAUUGCUGCCCAUCAAGCACGGCUUGUGUGUUGGGUCGUCGUCCCCUCUCCGGGGGGGACGGGCCCCAAAGGCAGCGGCGGCACCGCGUCCGAUCCUCGAGCGUAUGGGGCUUUGUCACCCGCUCUGUAGGCCCGGCCGGCGCUUGCCGAACGCAAAUCAAUCUUUCCAGGUGACCUC
rnacentral:rRNA from 1 species